rnacentral:rRNA from 1 species
GACGAACGCUGGCGGCGUGCCUAAUACAUGCAAGUCGAGCGAAUCAAUGGGAGCUUGCUCCCUGAGAUUAGCGGCGGACGGGUGAGUAACACGUGGGUAACCUGCCUGUAAGACUGGGAUAACUUCGGGAAACCGGAGCUAAUACCGGAUACGUUCUUUUCUCGCAUGAGAAGAGAUGGAAAGAUGGUUCUGCUAACACUUACAGAUGGACCCGCGGCGCAUUAGCUAGGUGGUGAGGUAGCGGCUCACCAAGGCGACGAUGCGAAGCCGACCGGAGAGGGUGAUCGGCCACACUGGGACUGAGACACGGCCCAGACUCCUACGGGAGGCAGCAGUAGGGAAUCUUCCGCAAUGGACGAAAGUCUGACGGAGCAACGCCGCGUGAGCGAAGAAGGCCUUCGGGUCGUAAAGCUCUGUUGUUAGGGAAGAACAAGUACGAGAGUAACUGCUCGUACCUUGACGGUACCUAACCAAAAAGCCACGGCUAACUACGUGCCAGCAGCCGCCGUAA